UUUAUUUAUAGUACAGAAAAACAAUUUUGAUAUUUGGGUUAACGUGCCUUGAUGUACUGUUAGUCGGAUAAACAACUUUGUUAAAAUUCUCACAGCAUGUUAUUUUAGAUAUAUUUUGCUAUUUGUCACGUCUUAAUACGUUAAGACGAUUUUAAACUGUUAAUUGACUAGUAUUUUUAGCGAGUUUUUAAUUUUUAUCAGUAUAUUUACAACAAAUUAAAUGAAAUUGUAAGGACGUAUUGCAGUUUUUAAGGAUCAUUUGAAAAAAUAGUGAAAUAAAUAAAAUGAGAGAAGACACAAAAAUAAAAGGUGGAAAGGAUUUAUUCUUCGUAAACACAGUAUGUUUUCCAAAAAUUUUUAUUUUGGGGUUCGUAUUGCUGUACACAAGUUUUAUGCUGAUUUUUGUGAUGAUAUUUUCAACUGGGAUUUACAGCGUUGUAAUGAGAAAAUCUAUUAGCGAUCAAUUUGUGCAUCUCCUAGGUGAAGCUGUACUCAUUUGUCAAAAAUGCGCUUUGGUCUUUAUUGCAGAAAUUGUAUUGAACUUGUAUUGGUUGCAUUUGUAUCGGAUUGCGCAAGCGCAAGGACACAGCGAAAUUAUGCGUUUUGUUCAUGUCCUGUUUAAUGUUUUGUUGUUUGUCGUUAUGUCCAUGCUUAUACUACAGAACAUUCAAACCUUUUUUGUAUUUUGGAUAAGUCUAUUACUUUUAGGUUUCUUCAUUUCAUUUUUGGCCUUUUCAUUUCACUAUAGGUACGGCUUGAAACAGCCUUCUGUAGAGCAACUACCUAUUUAAACAACAGUUAGUAAAAGAAAAUAUAAUAGGAUCAACAAGGAAAGGCGGCGUUCAAUAGAUCCUCACAAAAAAUCUAACCACUCCAGAGCAACGCCUUUCCGGAACAAUCAAAAUAUUUGUCUCAAAAUAGAUAUUGCGCUACAGAUGUUGUACUAUAUUAUUAUGAAUGUACAUAAUUGAUAUUUCCUAUUUUAAUUCUAUUUCAAAUUAUAAAAGCUUGAAUUUUACUGCAUUGCAUAUAAAUUUUUAGUAUAAAAUAUGUAAACUUUGUUUGCUGGUUUGUUUGUUUAUAACUUAAUAUUACAAAAUGAUCAUUAACACCAUAUAUCUAAAUUUAGUUUUUUUAUGUUAGAAUUACCAUGAUAAUGGACGUGAAAUUGUUUUAUGCAUUGACUUUAAAUAAACAUAUGUCAAUAUGCAAAUCAUAAUUCUUUUAAAAUAGUUUUGACUUAUGAUUAGAUUAAGUCAUAUAUUGCAUGUAGAUCAGAAAAAACAACAUCAACAAAAACACAACAAAACAUGCAAAAAAAAACAUACUCGUAUUAUUAUGCAAUUAAAUAAGAAAAAAAUAGUAAUUUAGUGAUUUACACUUCGGCAUUCAAACUUACUUUUCUUUAAAAAUGCAUUGUUUAGUCACUUUACUGUAACUAUUGUAAACUCUUGAAGAAUUAAAAUUGUAUGUUAUGAGUUUCGGGGAUAUGGAACUAUCUUCUUAACAAUUAUGUUAAAAAGGAAACGUACAUCAUAAAUUUUUGUCAUAACCUAAAUGACCAUAAAAAUGGUGAUGAAAAUGAUAGUCAGUGAGACCGUCUUUUAAUCAGUUUUGGAACUGUCUCCUGGCAUAUAAGCCAAAUGAUUUGAAAUUUAGAAAUUGUAGACUUGCGUCCAGCUUUAUUAAGCGACUUUUUUAUAU